AGUGUUGGAUUUCAUCAUCAGUUUUCCUUGUGGUUAUCUUCAACACUAAAUAAAGUCUAAUGUCACCUGAGUCGUGUUUUGACACACUGGUUUCAGUUGAGAGACAUCAAAGUGCUUGAUUAAAUAGAAGCUCUCCUGUUGCUUCCCAAGAUGGAUAUGGAGUAUGUGAUAAAUGGCCAAUAGCUUGCCUGACAUUGUCCAAAGGCUGUAAACACUAACUGAAUCCCCAUUCUCACCUGCUGCCGGUUACUGCUUCCUGCUCUCUCCUUGUCUUACUGAUGUCGUUUUGCAAACCAUUUUGGAACACCUUAAAUUUGAGAUGGCAGCAAAGGGGCAAUUUGACAAAAAGAUGUCUGAAGCGAAGGUGUGUCGCUGAAUUCCUCCAUGUAGAAGCAACUGCACUCAUUGAUGUUUAUUGAUGCUUGCUGAACGUUUAUGGAGACUUAACAGUGGAUGUGAGCACAGUGAGGAGGUAAACUACAGACCUCCAUCUGAAGGGAGAGGAGAUAGUUUAUUCAGUGAAAAUGUUUAUAAUGCAGAUCCUGGCAAACUACGUUAUCCAAAGGAUUUAAAAAUUCUUAAGCUUUAUAAAGAGCAUGCUAACAAGUCAUCUUGAGCUGAAUGCAGCUGUACCCUGGCUGAGAGAAUGUCUUCACUGUCAGCUUUCUCAGACUGUAUAGAGAAGGUAAGAAAUAAAGCCGAAGUAUGAAAAUGAUUGUCUUUAAAUUCUGGUACUUAGCCAGAUACCCAAC
rnacentral:lncRNA from 1 species